rnacentral:rRNA from 1 species
AUUGAACGCUGGCGGCAGGCCUAACACAUGCAAGUCGAACGAGUGGCGGACGGGUGAGUAAUGUCUGGGAAACUGCCUGAUGGAGGGGGAUAACUACUGGAAACGGUAGCUAAUACCGCAUACCAUCGGAUGUGCCCAGAUGGGAUUAGCUAGUAGGUGGGGUAACGGCUCACCUAGGCGACGAUCCCUAGCUGGUCUGAGAGGAUGACCAGCCACACUGGAAAUGGGACACCGGCCAGACCCCUACGGGAGGCAGCAGUGGGGAAUUUUGCACAAUGGGCGGAAGCCUGAAUCAGCCAUGCCGCGUGGAUGGAGAAGGCCUUCGGGUUGGAAAGUAAUUUCAGCGGGGAGGCGUUACCCGCAGAAGAAGCACCGGCUAACUCCGUGCCAGCAGCCCCGGUAAUAC